rnacentral:lncRNA from 1 species
GUGAAUUUCUGUGGUUUAAGCAAGUCAGUCUGUGGCACUUUGUUCUGGCAGCCUUAGCAAACUAGUACUGUCUCUGGUGCUCUAGUUUCAGACACCAUCUUAGCCUGGAGGAGGAGCUGUGAUUGGACACGGGGCCUUUCCAGAUCUGUUCCCGUCACACCCAGAGCACAGCCUGGUUUGGCAGAGACUCAACCAGCCCCGGGCCUAGGACGUCUCUCGCUCGUGCACCAUUUUGUUUCUUUCUUCAGGGUGUCAUUCAAGUCCUUCUGCUCAGGAAUGAGUCUCACGACAGACAACGUGUUGGGGAUGCUCCAGACUCGCCCAGAUGCCUUCGUUUCGGGGCGCUGUGGGAUGUGCUGAGAAGAAAGCCUGGAGGAGAGAUACCCAAUUGAUAGCAAGCUUGGCCAUAGGACUCGCUUUAGCCAAUGAAACGUGAAGACGAGUGAUGCGCAUCUCUUCUGAGCCGAAGCUUCAAGAGCCGGCUCGUGGCCGCCACGUCUCUUCUCCCUUCGCCAGAGACCGGCAGUGUUUCGGAGGCUGCCCCAUGAGCGAAGAGCCUGGGUCCAUGAAAGAAGACGUGGAGCAGAGCCCAGCCUGCCCACGUCGGCCACGGGGCAAAGCUUAUUUCUCAGUUGAUGGCGUCCUUCUAAUAGAAUGUGACUUCCAUGCUGCAAGAAUCUGGGCUGAGUUGUUAGUCAUUCUACCCUGAAGCCAAGCCCGGGGCCCGACUAUCUGUGAGAAGAACGAAUGAAGGAAACUUAUGGAUCCGUCCUGUUCAUCAUGAUCUCUUCCAUUAGCAGAGGGUGCCUCUCAGAAGUCUGUAAACCGAGUUCCUUGAAUCUGUUCUAUCGUGUCACCUCUGAAUCUUUGCACGUGCAAUCCAUUUUACUCAGAAGAAAACGCUUCGUCACCGCCUCCUUUUUUCCGCUUAAUGGUAAAAUUCAGGCUCUAUAGUAGUCCACGAAGAGAGCGCUUUGCAGCCUUGCUGACGCUGCAUGGACUGCCCCUGCCAGGACCCGCCAGUUCCAAAGACAGACCCUUGUGAUGACGCUGGGCCAGCAGAAUGAUCCAGAAUAAUCUCCCCGUCUCAAGAUCCUUAACUUCACCACAUCUGCAAUGUCCCUGUUGCCAGACGCUCCAGGGCACCGUACAGUGUGGUUGAAAGCGUGACCUGGCUGAAGUCAAACCCCGGCUCUGACAUUUACCAGGUGUGCAAAGUAUUGAGCAAAGCAUUUCUCUGUCCCUCAGUUUCUUCAUCCGUAUAGCAGGUUAAUAAGAGUACCCGUCCCCUAGGCUUGCUGUGAAGACGAAAUGAAGUGAUAUGUGUAAAAUGCUAAGCACACGCCUAGCAUGCAGUACUUGCUCAGCAAAAUGAGUGAGGUCUAAGUGUUGUUUCCAGGAAGGUCUGGACUAAUCAUGGAGAUAAGUUCAAGCAUCUGCUUAAUAAACUGAGAGCCCACUUGAUCCUGAUUCUACGUUUCUGGCACAGAGUCUGAGAGAAUAGCAACAAAUAUAACAGAACUCUCUUCCUGUUUGAAAGUCAGCUGUGCCAUCUCGAGUGCGUUACUUCAUGUCUCUGAGGUUUCAGAGUCUUCAGCUGUGAAAUAGGCUAACCCAGCAGUUACCCCCGGAAUUGUGGCAAAGAUGAAGUGCCACCAAGCAUGUAAAGGAGGCACUAGACAGCGGGAGCAGGAAUGACCAUCGCUCUUGUUAAGAACAAGCGAAAAGUGAGCGCAAGGAGAGAGCAAGAGAAGAACUCAACGUGCUUGGGGACAAGGUGCCACACCUUGUCAUUCCGCAUCCAGAGUAGACAGUCCUUCUGCCAGGGAGCCCCUUCUUUUUUUUCUGUGUCUGGCUCUUUUUCUCUGUCAAGACUCGGAACUGGUGGCCUCUCCUCCAGGCAGCCUUCCCUGAUAACUUUCCAGUAGGCAGAAAGGCUGAGGGGAUGCUGAGGGUCCCCUUGGAGCACUCAUCUCCAUGGAACAGGAACUGAGAAUGGUCUAAGAACUGAUAACCACAGAGGGGCGGGGACGGGGGCCCUAACCCCACGGUUCCCAAAAGACACGUGUCCUGGGGACCUUAAUCCUGGUUCCCCCAGGAUCUGGAGCGGUGGUUCUCAACGUGUGGGCUGGGGACCCUCUCAGUACUAUUUCUAUAAUAAUAUUAGGACUUCUCUGCACCUUUCACUGUCAUUCUUCCAUGAGCACUCAGUGAUGAUGUCCUUGCUCUGCCGGCUAAUGGAAUGUGUGCGUAGGUAUUCUUGUGUGUAUGUGUUUUAAUAAAAGCUUUAUUAAGAUAUAAUUCACAUUUGCCCGUUUAAAGUGUGCUAUCCAAUGAUUGUUAGCAUAUCCACAGAGUUGUGUAACUAUUACCACAAUCAGUUUUUGAAAAUUUUUAUCACCCCAAAAAGAAAUCCCACGCUCAUUGACAAUUAUUCCCUGUUCCGCACCCAAUAGCCCCAUGGCAGCAACUAAUCUACUUUCUUCUCUGUAGAUUUGCUUAUUCUGGACGUUUCAUAUAACAUGGAAUUAUUCAAUAUGUGGUCUUUUGUGACUGACUUCUUUCACUUAGCAGAAUGUUUUCAAGGUUCAUCCACAUCAUAGCAUGUAUCCAUACUCCAUUCUUUUUUGUUGCCAAGUAAUAUUCCAUUGCCUGGACAUACCACAUUGUAUUUAUCCAUUCAUUGGUUGAGGGACUUUUGGGUUGUUUCCACUUUUUGGCUAUUACAAAGAAUGCUGCUUAUGAACAUUUGUGUACAAGCUUUUGUGUGGUUGUAGGUUUUUGCUUCUCUUGAGUAUAUACCUAUGAAUGGAAUUGCUGGGUCACAUGGUAACUCUAUAAUCAACUUUUUGAGGAACUACCUGACUGUUUUCCAAAGUGGCUGCACCAUUUUACAUUGCUGCUAGCUGUGUAUGAGGGUUGCCGUUUCCCACAUCCUCGCCAAUAAUUAUUAUCUAUCUUUUAUUUUUAUUUAUUUAUUUUUUUGAGGAAGACUGGCCCUGAGCUAACAUCUGUGCCCAUCUUCCUCUUCUUUAUGUGUGGGACACCUACCACAACAUGGCUUGAUAAGCGGUGUGUAGGUCUGUGCCCGGGAUCUGAACCAGUGAACCCUGGGAGGCUGAAGUGGAGUGCCUGAACUCAACCGGUAUGCCACCAGGCUGUCCCCAACUAUCGUUUUGAUUAUAGCCAUCUUAGUGGGUGUGAAGUGGUAUCUCGCCGUGGUUUUGAUUUGCAUUUCCCUGAUGGCUAAUGAUGUUGAGUAUUCUUGUGUUUUAAACAUUUCUCGGUUUGAAUUUCUGAUACAGUAAAUAUUGACAGAUAGAACUCACAUAUGGAAAAGCUCAUUGGGGUCCUCAAUAAUUUUUAAGAGUGUAAACACAGUCUAAUACCAAAACGUUGGAGCACCACAGGACCGGGUUUGGGGCAGAAUUUACACAUCAUUUAGUUCCUGACUGUGGCGUAUGUCAGCUAUUGCCUCGGUAACUCGGGUUAACAGUCUACCCACAAACUCGGCGGCUUCAGCAGACAUUUAGCCUCAUGAUCGCCGGGCUGAGGUCCCCCCUGCGGUGUGACUGAUCUGGAGUGGGCUCCACUGGGUGGCUCUACGUCAGGCCCCGUGUUGGCUGGACUUGGUUCCAGGCUGUGGAUUGGUUUGAGGUUUGUUCCGUAUGCGUUCACGCUGGGGCCCAGGUGGAAGAGGAGGUGCUUUUACGCGGACACGCUUUUCUCAAGAGCAUCGCUGGGGUGAGAGUCAAGCCAGCUGCUUUGUGCACCGUGGCGUCUGCUAACAUUCCAUUGGCCAAAGCCAGUCAUGAGGCCACGCCCACCAGCAAAUGGGCGGAGACAGUAAACCCCGCCCACUACAGAAGUGGGAGGGGCCAAUGCUUGAUGAACAUAAUCCAAACCCCGGAGGGAGGGGCUCCGUGCUCCAGUGUAUGUGAGGGGGCUGGUUCCGUUUUCCACAGUGCGGAGCUGACUGUAUCCCUCGCGGUGUGUCGCCCCCCGGGCCACCUCCUUGCGCCUGGCCCCUGUCCCUGUGAACCACAUUCCUAGAGCGGGCUGGCUGAACCCCGAAGAUGACCUGCUGCCACACUUGUACGUUGGGAACCUGCGGGCCCACGCUCUGAUUUUAAAAACGUCACUUACUUGCCACAUACCUAAAUUGGCGGUUUUCACAUAAAAUGCACAUUUCUGGCUUGUCAUGAAAAAAUCCUAAUACGUGAUAACACUGGGCCCACAUUCCCCCUCGGUGACCCUUGAUUGGGCUGCUUAGCGAUCCCCAGCCUGACCUUUCAGUUCAUCCCAGGUCCCAUCCCUCCUCCUUGCCCUUCACCUGUCUUUCUUCGCUCAUUUGCCUUUUCUCUCUGUCUUCUGUAGGCGUAUAAUUUUUUUUUAUUUUUAAAAAAUUGUUGUAAAAUACUCAUUAAUUAAAAAUUGACCCAUGACCUACUUAACCAUUGUAAAGCAUACAGCUCAGUGGCGUUAAGCAGAUUGACAGUGUUGUGUAACCACCACCACUAUCCGGUUCUGGAACUUGUUCUUCAGUCCAAAUGGAAGGCUGGUACCCAUGAAAGAGUCUCCCCGACCUUCUCUCCUCCCAGCCCCUGGCUGCACCCACCUGCCUUCUGUCCCUGUGGAUUACGAAUACGAGUUUUUAAUCACCGCUCUAGAG